GAAAUUACCCAAUUAUCAAGUAGUAUUAAAUAGUACUUGCAGAUUGUCAAUCAGCUACUCGAUAAAUCAUUGACCCUCUCAGCUCUGCUCAUCUAAAUCCUCCACUGUCCAGGACAUUGAACAACAAGUCAGACUCUACAGAGAAGUUUCAGAAGGGGACAAAAUGGGGGACUUUGUGUGGAGCAGAAUUCCUUUUUUCAAUUUCUGAAAACGUAUUUUGCAUUUAUAUGGCACUUGUAUCAAGAUUUCUUUCCAAUGUGUCUCAAAAUUAGCCGUUCUAUCACACACACACACACACACACACACACACACACACACACACACACACACACACACACACACACACACACACACACACACACACACACACACACACACACCAGUGGCAGUGAGCUACUCUGAGGGGCCACCAGCCGAAAGAUGAGGCCGACCGGAGUUUCGUGUUUUGCUCAAGGACACUCGGGAAACGACCGCGGGGCCGAAUAAGCAGACGCCCCACUCCGCUGACUCACGCUGCUCGCAACCAACCAACAGUGGCACAGUGUAAACAGCGUGGACCAACGCGAGGGGAUAUUCCCCCAAAAAAUCUGCGGCCUUCGGUUCCAGCUGGUCGCCAACGCAAGGGAAGAGGCUCACACAUAUUGAUUUGGUUCUCCUCUUCCCCCCCCCCCAGACCAUAUACAUAUUUAUAGAGCAAGUGCAAUUAUUAAUCUCACUUUUGUCCCACAGCCUAAAUGUUCUGACCUUCUCUGGACGCGCUCCAUCACUAACGAGCCCCUGCGCUGCUGCUGUUUUGUUUUGUUCCUCUCGUGCAACACGCAGACGACUAUGAGCGGAAUGGAUGGAUGCCGGAGAGGCGAACAGGGAGACGCAGACGUAAGGAAUCCGUGAGCGCAGAGAAACAAAGGGGGGGCGGUUGCCGGCCGGCUGCUGGCUGACCUGUGCUGCGGUGUCCAGUCGGUGAUGUUGCUGCCGUUCAGAGUCCAGCGGUACUGCAGGGGCCAGCUGCCUCCAGCCAGGCAGGUCAGCACCAGCCUGUUUCCCUCCAACGUCACCCGCUGGCCCGGUCCACCCCCUCGCAGGUGGGGCGAUGCUGACGAUCCCGACUGUAGACAUGUUUAAAAUCGCCUUAAUAGCCGCAGUGGGCGGCGGCAACUUUUGAAGGAUGGCCUUUAAAGUCUGGACCAGCCAUGUCACCCCGUACUGUACGUGCCUGGAGUACAGAGGGAAACUCGGGAGGAUCUACGACAAGCACUGCAUCCCAGUGUCUUUCGAAACCCAGCAACAGACGUCUGAGACAAAAUGAUGAACUACUGGCGCUGAGACCGGGGACGCCGUCUUCUUCUUCUUCUCGCUGAUGUUACAUGUCGUUCUUCAUGUCUCCGUCUCCUUGAUGGACAAUAAUCUGAACAUCUCUUAAUUGCCCGAAGCAUUUUGCACAGAACUGUGAUCAUAAGUUCAUCGUUCUGAAGCUAACAUAGGACUCCGGCAGUCUUGACUUAAUCAAACGAAAAGUUGCAGACUUUUUGCUGCUCGCCGCCCUCUUUGUGUUUCCCCGAGACAAUGUUUCCAUGCUUAGUCACACUUGAGGGGAAGUCACACAAAGGGACGCUGAACAAAAAAAAAGAAAGAGCCGUAAUAAGAUUCUUCAAAGCUCAAAGCCUCGUUUUAAUGAAACUUCUUCAGAACUUUGGGAUGUAGUUCUGCAUGUAGUUCUGCAAGUGCAGGUCCCCAUGCAUUUGCACUAGAACCACAUUGGGAGUGGAUGUCUUAAAGGCGCAGUAAGCGACUUUGGGAGUGGAUGUCUUAAAGGCGCAGUAAGCGACUUUGGGAGUGGAUGUCUUAAAGGCGCAGUAAGCGACUUUGGGAGUGGAUGUCUUAAAGGCGCAGUAUGCGACUCUGAAGCGAUACACGUUUUGUAAAAAUCUGCAAAUAUUUCCUCACGGUCCGUUGGCUGUCGCUUUUUGUGCCUGCGGCGGUAAAAAACCACACAAAACUGUGAGUGCAGCUUGUGAACAUCACUCGUCGACGCCUUAAGACGCGUGCUAGCAGGGGGCGCUGCAACUCCGAGGAUUUGGCCUAGUGGUUAGUGCGUCAGACUCCCGUACCCGAGAGCGCCCGUUUGCAUCACAACAGAGAGAAAAAUGAGCUCUCUUCAAAAUGGUUUGCUGCCCCUUUAUGCAUACGCGGGACGAAGGGAGCAAAAUAACAAGAAGUAAAGAGAAAAGGUGUGUCAGGGUUCAUAUAGGCAAACUGACGGUGGCAGAAAAGCAGUGAAAAAACACCUGCCGCCUUUGAUGAUGAUGAAAUCAAAGUGGCUCCGACGCCGUCCCACUAAUGCCGCGGCGCCGUGAGAGGGCGAGGCCACGGGAGACGGAAACUGCCCUGGACCUGGAGUGCAGCUCCUGGACGGCCGGGGGGGGGGGGGGGCUGCGACCGCACAACUACGAUCAGGAGUGAAUCCUCCUCCUCAAGUCGGCAGCUGCUUUAAUUGACUGCAGAGUGUCAGAGAGCGAAGCGCCUCACGGAAGACAACACCACCCACACGCCUGUCUUCCUGCUCCGACAGCCAAUCACAGCGCCCCCCCCCCCAUUUUGCCUGCUCCAAUCAUGGUUCCUCACACACUGUGACUGACAGCUGUCUGUGAAGAAGUGACAGAUGAAUGACCGAUCCUGAUGGGCCGAUUGUCAGAUGCAAGACCAGGAGACAGGUUGCUUACACUGUCACAAAUGCACAGGACGCACACACACACACACACGCACUCACACACACACACACACACACAGACUCCAACGUGUAGGUGCAAGCUCAGGCGGACAGCCACGGUUUGAGUUAAAAGUCAAAAUGCUUAACUUUGCUUGUGUUUGCUCCCUUGUGUCAAGGACAUUGUUAGAAUAAAGUACAGAGAGUUGUACAACAGCUUCUCCAACAAAAGGCUUUCAAGGUGAAACACAUUUGGAAAACAGGUUGGGUUGAAAUCGCAACUUCUUUUCCCCGUCUGGCUUCACAUUCUGUUGAGCGUUCUACUGGCCAUUUGCCAAUUUGGCCUGUUCUCAGUUAGGCUUCAUCCAAACUGCUACGUUUUAGGGCUGCGACUAACGAUUAUGUUC